rnacentral:rRNA from 1 species
AGGCAGCAGUUAGGAAUAUUGGGCAAUGGAGGCAACUCUGACCCAGCCAUGCCGCGUGCAGGAUGAAGGCGCUCAGCGUUGUAAACUGCUUUUAUCUAGGAAGAACGGCUGAUUUGCGAAUCAGUGUGACGGUACUAGAGGAAUAAGCACCGGCUAACUCCGUGCUAGCAGCCGCGGUAAUACGGAGGGUGCAAGCGUUGUCCGGAUUUAUUGGGUUUAAAGGGUGCGUAGGUGGUCCUGUAAGUCUGGUUUGAAAGCUGGUGGCUUAGCCAUCAGAUGUGGCUGGAAACUGUGGGACUUGAAUGGGUUGGCGGUAGCUGGAACGGGUCAUGUAGCGGUGAAAUGCAUAGAUAUGACCCAGAACCCCAAUUGCGAAGGCAGGCUACUACGGCUUGAUUGACACUGAGGCACGUGAGCAUGGGGAGCCAACAGGAUUAGAUACCCUAGUAGUCC